UAAACAAUUAUGAGUCUUUAACGAUUUUAAAUUACCUCAUUAAAUUUUAACGAUUGAACAUAAAUUGUGAACAUCAUUCAGAUAGAAUUGUUGAAGAUAUAAAAAUUCAAUUCAAUACAAGACCAAAAUCGCAGUAUUGAAGUAAACGGCAAAAUUCUUAAGCCACAAGUUGACAGAGCUAACCUAUACCCAGUAGAUUUCUCUAUAUCUGACGUUUGUUUUGAAAGCAAUGAAAAUAAUUUAAGUUAUUCAGAUAGUGAUUUGUAUUUAAAUGAAGAAGAUUGCAUGAUCUCAGAGUCAGAAGAUUUUGUGCAGUAUUUGCAUAGCGACUCAAGUGACAACAAGGAUUCAGAGUCCAAAGAAGAUUCCAAAAAAAAAAAACUUAACUAUUGCUGAUCAUUUGCUUAUGUUUUUUAUUACUUUUAAUAUUAGUCAUCAUGCGAUGCUUAAUCUUUUAAAAUUGUUGAUAAAAUUUGGAGUGCCUGAUGUUCCAAACUCUAUUUAUUUAUUGACAAAAAAAUCACAAUUACAAAAUUUAAAUAUUGUAAAAUUAUCUAAUGGAAAUUUUUUUUAUUUUUCAAUUAUUGAAAAUCUAAAAUACUGUGUUGACAAAGGUGUUUCUAUUACUUCAUCA